UUAAGCGACUAAGCGUACACGGUGGAUGCCCUGGCAGUCAGAGGCGAUGAAGGACGUGCUAAUCUGCGAUAAGCGUCGGUAAGGUGAUAUGAACCGUUAUAACCGGCGAUUUCCGAAUGGGGAAACCCAGUGUGUUUCGACACACUAUCAUUAACUGAAUCCAUAGGUUAAUGAGGCGAACCGGGGGAACUGAAACAUCUAAGUACCCCGAGGAAAAGAAAUCAACCGAGAUUCCCCCAGUAGCGGCGAGCGAACGGGGAGGAGCCCAGAGCCUGAAUCAGUGUGUGUGUUAGUGGAAGCGUCUGGAAAGGCGCGCGAUACAGGGUGACAGCCCCGUACACAAAAAUGCACAUGCUGUGAGCUCGAUGAGUAGGGCGGGACACGUGGUAUCCUGUCUGAAUAUGGGGGGACCAUCCUCCAAGGCUAAAUACUCCUGACUGACCGAUAGUGAACCAGUACCGUGAGGGAAAGGCGAAAAGAACCCCGGCGAGGGGAGUGAAAAAGAACCUGAAACCGUGUACGUACAAGCAGUGGGAGCACGCUUAGGCGUGUGACUGCGUACCUUUUGUAUAAUGGGUCAGCGACUUAUAUUCUGUAGCAAGGUUAACCGAAUAGGGGAGCCGAAGGGAAACCGAGUCUUAACUGGGCGUUAAGUUGCAGGGUAUAGACCCGAAACCCGGUGAUCUAGCCAUGGGCAGGUUGAAGGUUGGGUAACACUAACUGGAGGACCGAACCGACUAAUGUUGAAAAAUUAGCGGAUGACUUGUGGCUGGGGGUGAAAGGCCAAUCAAACCGGGAGAUAGCUGGUUCUCCCCGAAAGCUAUUUAGGUAGCGCCUCGUGAAUUCAUCUCCGGGGGUAGAGCACUGUUUCGGCAAGGGGGUCAUCCCGACUUACCAACCCGAUGCAAACUGCGAAUACCGGAGAAUGUUAUCACGGGAGACACACGGCGGGUGCUAACGUCCGUCGUGAAGAGGGAAACAACCCAGACCGCCAGCUAAGGUCCCAAAGUCAUGGUUAAGUGGGAAACGAUGUGGGAAGGCCCAGACAGCCAGGAUGUUGGCUUAGAAGCAGCCAUCAUUUAAAGAAAGCGUAAUAGCUCACUGGUCGAGUCGGCCUGCGCGGAAGAUGUAACGGGGCUAAACCAUGCACCGAAGCUGCGGCAGCGACGCUGAUGCGUUGUUGGGUAGGGGAGCGUUCUGUAAGCCUGCGAAGGUGUGCUGUGAGGCAUGCUGGAGGUAUCAGAAGUGCGAAUGCUGACAUAAGUAACGAUAAAGCGGGUGAAAAGCCCGCUCGCCGGAAGACCAAGGGUUCCUGUCCAACGUUAAUCGGGGCAGGGUGAGUCGACCCCUAAGGCGAGGCCGAAAGGCGUAGUCGAUGGGAAACAGGUUAAUAUUCCUGUACUUGGUGUUACUGCGAAGGGGGGACGGAGAAGGCUAUGUUGGCCGGGCGACGGUUGUCCCGGUUUAAGCGUGUAGGCUGGUUUUCCAGGCAAAUCCGGAAAAUCAAGGCUGAGGCGUGAUGACGAGGCACUACGGUGCUGAAGCAACAAAUGCCCUGCUUCCAGGAAAAGCCUCUAAGCAUCAGGUAACAUCAAAUCGUACCCCAAACCGACACAGGUGGUCAGGUAGAGAAUACCAAGGCGCUUGAGAGAACUCGGGUGAAGGAACUAGGCAAAAUGGUGCCGUAACUUCGGGAGAAGGCACGCUGAUAUGUAGGUGAAGUCCCUCGCGGAUGGAGCUGAAAUCAGUCGAAGAUACCAGCUGGCUGCAACUGUUUAUUAAAAACACAGCACUGUGCAAACACGAAAGUGGACGUAUACGGUGUGACGCCUGCCCGGUGCCGGAAGGUUAAUUGAUGGGGUUAGCGCAAGCGAAGCUCUUGAUCGAAGCCCCGGUAAACGGCGGCCGUAACUAUAACGGUCCUAAGGUAGCGAAAUUCCUUGUCGGGUAAGUUCCGACCUGCACGAAUGGCGUAAUGAUGGCCAGGCUGUCUCCACCCGAGACUCAGUGAAAUUGAACUCGCUGUGAAGAUGCAGUGUACCCGCGGCAAGACGGAAAGACCCCGUGAACCUUUACUAUAGCUUGACACUGAACAUUGAGCCUUGAUGUGUAGGAUAGGUGGGAGGCUUUGAAGUGUGGACGCCAGUCUGCAUGGAGCCGACCUUGAAAUACCACCCUUUAAUGUUUGAUGUUCUAACGUGGACCCGUAAUCCGGGUUGCGGACAGUGUCUGGUGGGUAGUUUGACUGGGGCGGUCUCCUCCUAAAGAGUAACGGAGGAGCACGAAGGUUGGCUAAUCCUGGUCGGACAUCAGGAGGUUAGUGCAAUGGCAUAAGCCAGCUUGACUGCGAGCGUGACGGCGCGAGCAGGUGCGAAAGCAGGUCAUAGUGAUCCGGUGGUUCUGAAUGGAAGGGCCAUCGCUCAACGGAUAAAAGGUACUCCGGGGAUAACAGGCUGAUACCGCCCAAGAGUUCAUAUCGACGGCGGUGUUUGGCACCUCGAUGUCGGCUCAUCACAUCCUGGGGCUGAAGUAGGUCCCAAGGGUAUGGCUGUUCGCCAUUUAAAGUGGUACGCGAGCUGGGUUUAGAACGUCGUGAGACAGUUCGGUCCCUAUCUGCCGUGGGCGCUGGAGAACUGAGGGGGGCUGCUCCUAGUACGAGAGGACCGGAGUGGACGCAUCACUGGUGUUCGGGUUGUCAUGCCAAUGGCACUGCCCGGUAGCUAAAUGCGGAAGAGAUAAGUGCUGAAAGCAUCUAAGCACGAAACUUGCCCCGAGAUGAGUUCUCCCUGACCCUUUAAGGGUCCUGAAGGAACGUUGAAGACGACGACGUUGAUAGGCCGGGUGUGUAAGCGCAGCGAUGCGUUGAGCUAACCGGUACUAAUGAACCGUGAGGCUUAACCUU
rnacentral:rRNA from 1 species